GUGAACGCUGGCGGUCGGCCUAACCCAUGCAAGUCGAACGGCAGCACAGUAAGAGCUUGCUCUUACGGGUGGCGAGUGGCGGACGGGUGCGGAAUACAUCGGAAUCUACUUUUUCGUGGGGGAUAACGUAGGGAAACUUACGCUAAUACCGCAUACGACCUACGGGUGAAAGCAGGGGAUCUUCGGACCUUGCGCGAUUGAAUGAGCCGAUGUCGGAUUAGCUAGUUGGCGGGGUAAAGGCCCACCAAGGCGACGAUCCGUAGCUGGUCUGAGAGGAUGAUCAGCCACACUGGAACUGAGACACGGUCCAGACUCCUACGGGAGGCAGCAGUGGGGAAUAUUGGACAAUGGGCGCAAGCCUGAUCCAGCCAUACCGCGUGGGUGAAGAAGGCCUUCGGGUUGUAAAGCCCUUUUGUUGGGAAAGAAAAGCAGCAGGUUAAUACCCCGCUGUUCUGACGGUACCCAAAGAAUAAGCACCGGCUAACUUCGUG
rnacentral:rRNA from 1 species